GCCGAGGGUCCAUUCCAAUAACACCGAUAAAGUCCUCACUUUAGCACUUGCCCAAUCUUCAGAUGUGGGGUUUUAUCACAAAAGGUCUCGGUGUUAGUUAUAGUGGGGUAAUUCUAUAUAAAUGGGUUCUCUUCUUCCCUCAUGGCCGAUGUGAGAAAUUGGAGGUUCCAACAAUUAGGAUUUGUCUACUGAAUAAAAUCUGCAAUAGAGUAUGUCCGCCUAACAAAAUUUGCCUGCCUGUUUGAAUCUAUCUGCCAACCGUCAUCUGAAUCUGUAUCCAUCUGUCAUGUGUUUGAAUAUGAAAUCUACCUGCCUAUUCACGUAGCGUAGACCUGACAUUCAUAUCAUGUUUCUCGUGUUCAUGUCAUUUUCGUGUCAUACCUGAUAGCUUAACGAGUUGUGUCGUGUAAUAUCCAUUAAAGUAAACAGGUAAUAUGACACGACCCGAAAUCAACCCGUUAAUAUUAUCAGGUAAUAUGACCCGACCUGUUACCCGUUAAGAAAAAUAUAUUUUAAAUCAAUAAAAAUGAAAAUGAAAAACAUAAUUUGACCCAAAAAAUGUAAAAUAUAAUACUAAAUUAGUAUAUACAUACUAAAUUUCAAAGUUGACCCCUUCAUGAAAGUUGUAAAGCUUUUCAUUACGAGUGAUUACAUUUUUCACACUUCUACAAUAAUUAUUAUUAAUUUUGCACUCAAAUAAAAAACAUUGUUCAUGAGAUUUGGAGGGUUUUAAAAAUCUAAACGACCAUGUAACCAUCAUCUAAGCGUUGAUGAUGCAAUUAUGAACGUUUAUUAUGCUUUCAUAUAUUUCAGACUUAUAAAUUAAUGAUAAUGAAUUCUGUUUAUUUUGAACUCCCUUUAAAAUACUAUUCAUGAGAAUUUGUGUGGUU
rnacentral:lncRNA from 1 species